UCCGUGUUAACCACGGCAGUCUCUUUAGAGUGCCCAACUGAAUGCUGGCAACUAAAGACAAGGGUUGCGCUCGUUGCGGGACUUAACCCAACAUGUCACCACACGAGCUGACGACAGCCAUGCAGCACCUGUCUUCCGGUCGUAUUGCUACGAAGACUGUAUCUCUACAGCUGUCCGGAGAUGUCAAACCCAGGUAAGGUUCUUCGCGUUGCUUCGAAUUAAACCACAUGAUCCACCGCUUGUGCGGGCCCCCGUCAAUUCCUUUGAGUUUUAGUCUUGCGACCGUACUUCCCAGGCGGGGCACUUAGUGCGUUAGCUCAGACUCAGCAGGGGUCAAGACCCGCCAAAUCGAGUGCCCAUCGUUUACAGCGUGGACUAC
rnacentral:misc_RNA from 1 species